CAAGUACUUUAACAUCAAAGCCAGCUUUGUUGACGAGCACACGGUUUGCGGCGUUGCCAAAGGUGGGAAAGAGAUUCUGCUGUCAGCCGAUCACAUCAUCAUUGCUACUGGAGGGCGGCCGAGAUACCCCACGCACAUCGAAGGUGCCUUGGAAUAUGGAAUCACAAGUGAUGACAUCUUCUGGCUGAAGGAAUCCCCUGGAAAAACGUAAGGCCUGCGCGUGCUUGGUGGGGUCCUCUUUUUGUUCACCAGAGUGAGCACUGGACCCUUAGAGCCUGUGCUGGUGCUGGGCUCCUGGGGCUUUCUUUCCGGUUUACCCAAAAGAA
rnacentral:lncRNA from 1 species